GACGAACGCUGGCGGCGUGCUUAACACAUGCAAGUCGAGCGAGGCCCUUCCUUCGGGAAGGAGCCCUAGCGGCGAACGGGUGAGUAACACGUGGGCAACCUGCCCCUAGCACUGGGAUAACUCCGGGAAACCGGGGCUAAUACCGGAUAUGACCUUUGAGGGCAUCCUCUUUGGUGUAAAGGAUUCUGGCUAGGGAUGGGCCCGCGGCCUAUCAGCUUGUUGGUGGGGUAACGGCCUACCAAGGCGACGACGGGUAGCCGGCCUGAGAGGGCGACCGGCCACACUGGGACUGAGACACGGCCCAGACUCCUACGGGAGGCAGCA
rnacentral:rRNA from 1 species